CAUAUUUUCUUCUCUUUACUGUACAUUCGUUAUCCCACCAAGGAGGAGAAGGAAUAAAACCCAAAGAGCUAUUUUUACUUGGAAAUAUCUCAUUGGCAACCUCAAAAAAGAUUCUUGCUAAAGAAUCUGCACACUGAGAUUCUGUACCUGGAUUAAUUUUUGGAAGUGUUGGAAAUGAUGAUAAUAGUGGGAAGUGAUCACUACCAAAAGUAGAUCGUAAUGGAUCCCAGGACAAAGAAGAAGCAAGAUUAGGUGUAGUGACUGUUAAAUCUGGAGCACUUGGGCCCUCGUCAGGAUGAGAACGUCGUGUAGGACGACCAUCAUUUAAUAUACACAAAUUCACUGAAUCAAAUAUGAUGAACCCCAGGAUUCAUGGCGACAGUUAAAAUCACCAAGGAUCAUAAAAGGCUUCGGAAGAAUGGAAAUAAUAUCUUUAAUUUCAUUUAAGAUUGCAGAAGAAGGAUGAGGUAUAUAAAUAGAUACAUAACAGAUAUUUUCAACUAAAGCAGCAAUAAUAAAAAAAUCAUUACUGUGAGAAGGAAUACAGAAGAGAGAAAAGGAAAGAGGGUGUUUCACAAGCAUGGCUACUCCGCCAUGCCCAUCCACACGAUCUUCUCUGAGACAUGAAUAACCACGAAUCUUAAAUAAAGAUCCUGGUUUCAACCAUGUCUCUUGAAGAGCACAGAUAUAAGAAACUAAUAAGGCAGCGUUGGACGGUGAAAAUUCAUUCGAUUGACUAAGAGAUUUUAUAAGAGAAAUAAUUAAAUCAAUUACUGAGGAUUCCAAAGGAUUUUCAUUUUCUUUGUUAAUUAAUGCACAUCCAUUAGAGGGUU